UACGUAGGGUGCAAGCGUUGUCCGGAAUUAUUGGGCGUAAAGAGCUCGUAGGCGGUUUGUUGCGUCGGCUGUGAAAUCCCGAGGCUCAACCUCGGGUCUGCAGUCGAUACGAGCAAACUAGAGUGUUGCAGGGGAGACUGGAAUUCCUGGUGUAGCGGUGAAAUGCGCAGAUAUCAGGAGGAACACCGGUGGCGAAGGCGGUUCUCUGGGCAUUCCCUGACGCUGAGGAGCGAAAGUGUGGGGAGCGAACAGG
rnacentral:rRNA from 1 species